UUGGAGGGCAGUCUGGUGCAGCAGCCGCGGUAUUCCAGCUCCAUAGCGUAUAUUAAGUUGUUGCAGUUAAAAAGCUCGUAGUUGAAUUUCGGGAUCAAAUUGUCGGUCGUGCCUCGGUACGCACUGGUAUUAUUGGUUCCUACCUUCUGAAGAACCGCGAUGUCAUUAAUUUGGUGUCGUGGGGAAUCAGGACUGUUACUUUGAAAAAAUUAGAGUGUUUAAAGCAGGCUUACGCUUGAAUACAUUAGCAUGGAAUAAUGAAAUAGGACGUUUGAUUCUAUUUUGUUGGUUUCUAGGAUUGACGUAAUGAUUAAUAGGGAUAGUUGGGGGCAUUAGUAUUCAAUUGUCAGAGGUGAAAUUCUUGGAUUUAUUGAAGACUAACUACUGCGAAAGCAUUUGCCAAGGAUGUUUUCAUUAAUCAAGAACGAAAGUUAGGGGAUCGAAGACGAUCAGAUACCGUCGUAGUCUUAACCAUAAACUAUGCCGACUAGGGAUCGGAUGAUGUUAAUUUUUUAAUGACUCAUUCGGCGCCUUACGGGAAAC
rnacentral:rRNA from 1 species